rnacentral:rRNA from 1 species
UGAACGCUAGCUACAGGCUUAACACAUGCAAGUCGAGGGGCAGCAUGAUCUUAGCUUGCUAAGAUUGAUGGCGACCGGCGCACGGGUGAGUAACGCGUAUCCAACUUCCCUAUAGUAGAGAAUAGCCCGGCGAAAGUCGGAUUUAAUGCUCUAUGUUCUUCUUUGAUGGCAUCUGAUGAGAAGCAAAGGUUCACCGCUAUAGGAUGGGGAUGCGUCUGAUUAGCUUGUUGGCGGGUAACGGCCCACCAAGGCUACGAUCAGUAGGGGUUCUGAGAGGAAGGUCCCCCACAUUGGUACUGAGACACGGACCAAACUCCUACGGGAGGCAGCAGUGAGGAAUAUUGGUCAAUGGGCGAGAGCCUGAACCAGCCAAGUAGCGUGCAGGAUGACUGCCCUAUGGGUUGUAAACUGCUUUAUAGGGGAAUAAAGUGAGGUAUGUAUACCUUUUGUAUGUACCCUAUGAAUAAGGACCGGCUAAUUCCGUGCC